rnacentral:lncRNA from 1 species
UCUCUCUCUCUAAACCUUUUGAGAAAUAGAAGAAAUGGAAGUGUAGAGAGGAAGGGAAGGAGAAAGGAAAUAGCUAGAAUUUCAGAACCAUUGGAUUUAUGCCAAGUGGCAAAAUCUGUUGAAGAGAAAGGAGAAAAGAUUCUUGGCAUGAAAAACAAGGUAGGAAAAUUUCCUCCACCGGCGGUGGCAGCGUGCCGAUCAAGACAGCGGAUGGGACGUGCGUGCAUGCAUGUGGAUGGGAUGUGCGCAUUGUGCGCAUGCCUUGCAGCCACAGUACGCGCAUGUGCGCGCUCAGUGCCUGCACCCACACGGACAAAUUACUUUCUCGCGGGAUUUUUCUCGCAAGCUGGUUUUCUCCUGUUUCGCCAUUUUCUGAUUUUUUUUCGAAAUUUAUCUUUUGAAAU